CUACGCACUCCUACGGGAGGCAGCAGUGGGGGAAUAUUGCACAAUGGGCGCAAGCCUGAUGCAGCCAUGCCGCGUGUAUGAAGAAGGCCUUCGGGUUGUAAAGUACUUUCAGCAGUGAGGAAGGUGGGUAUGUUAAUAGCAUAUUCAUUUGACGUUAGCUGCAGAAGAAGCACCGGCUAACUCCGUGCCAGCAGCCGCGGUAAUACGGAGGGUGCGAGCGUUAAUCGGAAUUACUGGGCGUAAAGCGCAUGCAGGUGGUUUGUUAAGUCAGAUGUGAAAGCCCGGGGCUCAACCUCGGAAUUGCAUUUGAAACUGGCAAACUAGAGUACUGUAGAGGGGGUAGAAUUUCAGGUGUAGCGGUGAAAUGCGUAGAGAUCUGAAGGAAUACCGGUGGCGAAGGCGGCCCCCUGGACAGAUACUGACACUCAGAUGCGAAAGCGUGGGGAGCAAACAGGAUUAGAUACCCUGGUAG
rnacentral:rRNA from 1 species